rnacentral:rRNA from 1 species
UACGGAGGGUGCAAGCGUUAUCCGGAUUCACUGGGUUUAAAGGGUGCGUAGGCGGAUAUAUAAGUCAGUGGUGAAAGCUCCGGGCUUAACUUGGAAACUGCCAUUGAUACUGUAUAUCUUGAAUGUCGUUGAGGUAAGCGGAAUGUUGCAUGCAGCGGUGAAAUGCUUAGAUAUGUUACAGAACACCAAUUGUGAAGACAGCUUACUAAGCGAUGAUUGACGCUGAGGCACGAAAGCGUGGGGAGCAAACAGG